AUAUAUAUGUGUAGAACAAGAGGGUACUGAAAUAUUCCUGGCUUUGGGGGAAAGAAAAUACAGAAAGAUCAGUUAAUUAUGAUUUUACUCAACAUAUUCCCCUCU